UGGAAGUCAAAUACGUGUGUACGCUUUACUUACUAUCGCAUACACAUCACAACGCUUCCGAAAUUAUGUUUGCUCUCUGAUGACCGCAGUUGGUUAAGGUUUGAACUGAGGACAGAUACGGAGCAUACAAUC